rnacentral:rRNA from 1 species
CCUACGGGAGGCAGCAGUGGGGAAUAUUGCACAAUGGGCGCAAGCCUGAUGCAGCGACGCCGCGUGAGGGAUGACGGCCUUCGGGUUGUAAACCUCUUUCAGUAGGGAAGAAGCGAAAGUGACGGUACCUGCAGAAGAAGCGCCGGCUAACUACGUGCCAGCAGCCGCGGUAAUACGUAGGGCGCAAGCGUUAUCCGGAAUUAUUGGGCGUAAAGAGCUCGUAGGCGGUUUGUCGCGUCUGCUGUGAAAGACCGGGGCUCAACUCCGGUUCUGCAGUGGGUACGGGCAGACUAGAGUGCAGUAGGGGAGACUGGAAUUCCUGGUGUAGCGGUGAAAUGCGCAGAUAUCAGGAGGAACACCGAUGGCGAAGGCAGGUCUCUGGGCUGUAACUGACGCUGAGGAGCGAAAGCAUGGGGAGCGAACAGGAUUAGAUACCCUGGUAGUCCAUGCCGUAAACGUUGGGCACUAGGUGUGGGGGACAUUCCACGUUUUCCGCGCCGUAGCUAACGCAUUAAGUGCCCCGCCUGGGGAGUACGGCCGCAAGGCUAAAACUUAAAGGAAAUUGACGG